UAAUACGGAGGUGGCAAGCGUUACUCGGAAUCACUGGGUGUAAAGGGCAAGUAGGCGGUUUAUUAAGUGAGGGGUGAAAUCUCCCGACUCAAUCGGGAAACUGCCUUUCAAACUGAUAGACUUGAGGACGGAAGAGGAAAAUGGAAUUCCCGGUGUAAGGGUGAAAUCUGUAGAUAUCGGGAAGAACACCAGCAGCGAAGGCGAUUUUCUGGUCCGUCCCUGACGCUAAAUUGCGAAAGCUAGGGGAGCAAACAGAAUUAGAUACUCUGGUAGUCCUAGCCGUAAACGAUGAGCACUAGGUGUUGGCCUUUCGGGGUCAGUGCCGCAGCUAACGCAUUAAGUGCUCCACCUGGGGACUACGGUCGCAAGGCUA
rnacentral:rRNA from 1 species